GUGGUUUGUGUUUCUUAAUAGAGGGAGUUGCUUAAUGCACAGGUAUGAGAUGUGGCUGAGGUUGUAGCUGCUGUUGUGGCCGUCCAUUUUCUUUGGCUGUGGUGAGGGAAGAUUCAUCGGAUUCCUAAUGUACCACAACAAAAUAGUGAAUUUUGGAGCAUAAAGUGUUACGUCUGCUGAGGAAGUUGUGCUCUUGCCCCAUGCGAGCUCUAAGCUAUUCAUUAGAGGGGCUCAUCAGUGUUAUGUGCUGCAGCAUGAUCAUCAGAUGGUCCACAUGUGUAGCCAUUGACGAGUUUCAAAAAUCAUCAUUUUUUCCAUAUAUAAUGUGGCCCACCUGAUGCCAAGCCUGACAUGAUUUUUGGUUCGUCGGUAAUUUGCUGGGGUCUACCUGGUGAACAGCCUAGAUCCUGCUUGUAGGUUUGGAAAACGGGAGCUACCUGUUGUUGGAGCCUGUGUUGAAUUAUAGUCAGUGCUCUUGCCAUUAUAUAAACUGGAACAAGAAGUCCAACAGUCCUCAACAAUAGCAGCUGUUUGUCAGAUAAAAAGAGAGGAUCAAAACAUUAUAAUUCAAGGAUGAAUGCUAACAUCGGAUGUUAUCUGUACUUCCAUCAGGUGGGUCCCAUCACUAACAUGCCCUGGCCCAAAAAUCAGGCCAGUCAGCUCAUCAGGUGGGCCACACAUGCAAAUCUAAUGUGGAUUGUUUCUUAAACAUGCAGACCCAAAUGCUGAGCAGAGAAUCCUAUUUCCAGGCAAGGGCCCAUCUAAUGCAGAUGAAUCAGUUGUUAUUAUUGACCCUAAAUGCAGAAAAGGCGGUGACCAGUGCAAUGGUUUUUUGGCAACUGAAGUUGUUCUCCAUUCCAUCAAUGGUGAUUGCAGUCAAGCUGAAGCAAUGCGAGCUAUCAACUCUGACGUCAGAGAAGACAACCGUCUUUCAGCCAUCCCUGGGUCAUCGUGUCUCUCUUUUAGUGAAGAUCUUAGUUGUAUUGAAGCUGGUUGGCAGGUCAGCCCAGAUAUUUUUGGAGAUAACAACACAAGGCUCUUCACUUAUUGGACUUCGGGAGUAGGUAUCCGAAUUCAACCGAGAGUAUAUAAUCCAAAGAUCAAAGGUAUAGGAUCUUCCAAUCUUCUAAAACUUAGGGGAAUUCUCUAUCUCCUUGGUUAAGCAUUGCACCUUGGUAAAUAGCAUUCAAUACUACAGUUUUCCAGUCUGUCUACCUGGAUUUGCCUCUCACUAGUUGUUGGCACCUUUUAACAAAAGAUACGUAUAGCACAAUUCUCAACCGCUUCUUUUAACACCUAGCAUUAUACUUUAGACUUCGAGACUUAAAGUGAGCAAUUGACAUUCUUUGCACAAUGGCCAUGCAAGCAACAUUUUCUUGAAAAAGCUAUUCCAAAAAUGUUUAUUUGUAAUUAUACUCUUUUGUCAACUAAUUUUGAUUGGAAUUAUAUUGAGGGAAGUUUUAGGAAAGGGCAACACACACAGAGAGGAUUCCCAUAUUAUAUUGUGCCAAUGGACUAUUAUCGACACGACUGCACUCAAGCUGCUACUAAGCUGGGAUUGUGACUGAACUUUUCCUCCAUUAUAAGACUUCUCCUUAAAAAAUCAUCACCCAUCUUUCUAACAGAUCUGCUUCCUAGCUGUUUGUACUUGCUAAAAUAUUGAAAUUGAUGCUUGCCCAACUCUAUACAUGAAUUGCUUCCUGUCAUAUUUCGUGCAACCAUAUUUCAGAUUUUUCUCCAGGUGGAAAUUAAUUUAGAUGGUUCUCUUGAAAGCACCUUUAUUUCUUUCUUUGUUUUAGAGUGCAUCCUAGAGACAUUUGUAUUAGACUGAAUUGAUGGAAGGAUUGAAUGUCAUUAAAACAUCUCAAUAGGCCCUGCAUGUCAAUUUGUAUGUUCAGCUUUUUUUUUUUCUUUUAACCAUCUUUUGCAUCUAUCAUUUUUUUUAACCUCUAUGCAUUCCAUAUCAAAAAAAAAAAAAUUACAAUCGAAGGGAAAUAUUUCGGGAUACCACAGGAAAAAAAAUCUAGUGGCAGCCUAUCGUAAGGGACUGAAAAACAAUGAACAAUAAUAUUUCAGUCUACCGCUGGAAAAAUUUGUAUGUUCAGCUUAUCCUAGAGACAUUUGUAUCAGACUAUGAAUUGAAUUGGCAAAAUUUAAUCAUAGUGGAAAUGCCAAAGACACAUGAUGCCACAGGUGAGUGCAGAAUGCUAGUAGUAGACUAGUCAUCCCUACUUUAUCGCUUAGCAUCCUCAUAAACACAGCAUGCGAUCGAUACUUGAGUCACCAAUAAUCUGUUUACUGAAGCCACACAACUACAAUCUACAGGUCAGAAGAUAGUGAAAGCUUUUAGACUUUGGGAAAAACAAAUUACAUGUGGCUUUAAAAGUAGGUGUUAGAAUACAUCUAUGACUGUCAAUUCACACAGUAGCUUCAUGAAUGUAACACACAACUACUCAAAAUGAAGCUAAUGCACCAAUUUUUCUUUACUUAAUGCCUUUAAACAUUUGUUCCAGCAAUGAUCACAAUGAUGCAUUUGAAGGACUAUGUUUUAGGCAGUUGCAUUGAUAGGGACAUUCAUAUUGCAUUGUAGUGUCUUGCUUUUUGAGCUAAUGUGUGACGGCUAUUUCUGCUUUGCAGUGCUAUUGGCCAAAAUCUAUAAACAAGUACUUAUGUUUGGGAGAUUUUCUUUGCGGUUCUCAUUUCUAUAUGUGGCUUGGUUUUAUUUUCACUUCUCAUUGGUAAUAUGCACGAUUACCUUCACUCCAACCAUCCAGCAUUAUAGCAUGGCAACAGUUAUUGGACUGUGUCUGCGAGUUAAGAUGAUGCGCUGUUUACCUCCACAUUUCAAGGAAAGAUUUUCAGGGCAUUGAUAUGUCCAACUUCAGCUUCUAAUCAUUGCGUACCAUAGCCAAAAACCAUAGAGCAUCAGAACCUUUGAUUCCAUUCCUGCCCGUCAAUUCUCAAAACGAGAAAUCAAAAGAGAAGGCUAAGAUGGGAGGGAUUGAAACCAACAAAAACAGCUGGUAUUGGAAAUGCAACAGAAGCGAGCAGUUAGGUCUAGUUUCAGCCACUGGCAAAUCCUUUUGCAAAAGCAUCUAACAGUGAUGAGAAGUUAAAAGAGAAGAUGAAAUUGAGUACAACUGCCAGUGAGGGGAGUGCUAAGGAAGAUACAGUUUCAAUGGUUUACGAAUCCUUUCAAAAAGGCAUCUAACAACCAGGAGAAGUUGUCUCUUUUCGAGUCUCUCAAGAAGAUGAAGGUCAGCUAUUUUAGACAAAACAAGGGAGGGAAGUAGGAGCGGACCAGUUUAGCACCUUUGCCACAAAAGAACCAGCCCUGAGAAAGAACGGAUAUGCCUUGCAUUGCUCACUGCACUUGAGCUUCAUGCAAUUGUCGAGUUUUUGUUAUUGCCAUGAAGUAACAAAAUGGUGAUAUGAUUGAGAUCAUUGACAUGAAUGAUGACAGAUUUUUCAAUGGUGAUUAUGUAAAGGUUGCUAUGUUUA